UACGUAGGGUGCAAGCGUUGUCCGGAAUUAUUGGGCGUAAAGGCUCGUAGGCGGUCCAUCACGUCGGGAGUGAAAAGCUGGGGCUUAACCCCAGUCCUGCUUCCGAUACGGGUGGACUAGAGGUAGGUAGGGGAGAACGGAAUUCCUGGUGUAGCGGUGAAAUGACGCAGAUAUCAGGAGGAACACCGGUGGCGAAGGCAGGUCUCUGGGCAUUAACUGACGCUGAGGAGCGAAAGCAUGGGGAGCGAACAGG
rnacentral:rRNA from 1 species